GAUUGUCACUAAUCCAUGCUCUGUCUUACUGUCAUUAUAAAAUGUUAACUAAAUAUCUGAACACCACAUUACUUAAUACUUCUUUCUCCACUUUUACAUGUUUUAUUACCUCUAACCAAAUUUUCUUUCCAUACAACUCCUCUUCAAGGUAUCAAUGUUAAUAUUUCUUCACAUUCACUCUCCGAUUCAGCCAAAAUCUUCCAAGACUUUCUCCUCUCUGUCACCAGUGUGGCACCAUAAACACACAUGGCAGUUCUCUCAUUUAAGAUUUUUAAGUAUAAUAUCUAAGUAGAUAUAAACAAGCUGCAGAGAAAAAAGCAAGGGAAGAAAUGGAAAGUGUGAAGCUAAAAGAAUUAGACCUUCCUACAAAUUACACGUAUUUCACAGAAACAGCCUUUUGUGACAUUAAAGUUGACAUUUCUUUGAAUUUUCAUUAAAAUGUAGUAAGUGAAAGUUCCAGUCGUAUGCUCAUCAAAACCAAAUAACUUUCUGAAUACUUAAAUUCAAUAACUUUUUAAAAUGUCUUUCUUACAAAUGUUCUCCAUCAACAAUAAGGUCUGCUAAUGUUAUGGUGGGAUAAGCACAAAAUUAGGAGACAAUGAAGGUGAUGGAAAAUAAAGGCAAUAAUUCAAAGGAAAAGAUGCAGAAAGAUAUCAGGGAAGACAAGGAACGUAAGCAAGCACGAAGUUACCCAAGAUACCCAGCCCUACACACUGCACACUGCAAAACAAUAGGCAAAAGAUUAAAAGGUAAAGAAAAAUUCUAUCCAAUGAAAUUCAAAAUUAUCAAGUUCUCAAUGUGAAUACUUUAAUAACAUCCAAAGGCAUUUUUUCGGUCAGCACAACACCACCUUCAACAACAGCAUGGAAUGCUGAAUGGCAGUCAUUUCUUUCAAUUAAGUUCAUACAUUAUACUGUAAAUAAAAGAGUUUGAUAACACAUUGCAAGGUAAUUAAUACUCACACAUCACAUACAGAUGAAAAGUCUGUCGUGUCUCAUUGUGCAUCCAUUACAGGCAAAUGUAUAAAUGGAUAUAAUAUAGCAUAUGGUGUUCAAAUACACAGUGCAUGAAAUAACAAAUGUUCAGGUGACUUUAGUAAUCAGUGUACCCAUGAAACUGCACACUAACUCAUGAAUGCACAAACAUAACUCAUUCAUGAAUGCUAGUACAAAUGCACACAUGGAUGUACACAGACACACACACACACACACACACACACACACACACACACACACACACAAUGCACACUGAUAUACAUCACAAA